rnacentral:lncRNA from 1 species
UGCUAGUACACAGAAUAUGUUUUGCAAAUUGUUUUACAAUCACUGCAUUCUUUGCAUUUCAGUACGAAGAAUUUCUUAGUGAGCUUAAGGAAGAAGACCAAGAGCGAACCAACACAGCCGUGAAAAAUUGCCUCUCCGGCGUCAACAAAGAAUUCGGCUUCGCGUAGAACUAAGCCCGAAAGUUAAAAUAGUUCUGGCUCAUCUUUGCUUUGCUUUGCUUUCAUUUGAGUGGUAAGAGCUUUCCGGAAAACAACAAAAGUUAGACACACGGUUGGUGCGUUGUUUCCCAGCUCUAUUCUGAAUUUAUUCGUUGCGAUUUCUCAAAUUCGCGAACAGUAAUGGUUGCCUUCACGCACAAUAAACAUGUUUCUAAAACCUA